AAAAAAUCCCUUUAGCCAACCACAUCAAACGAGAAAAGAAAGAAAACGUUUCUAGUGUUUCUUAGCGCCGAUACCGUGUUUCACUUCGUCAUCGGCACAAAUUUUUGAGCUUCCACAAUAAACUCCAGAUUGAUUGAAGGAACCCAUACGGAUUGCUCGAGGUGACGAGUUUGGUAUUUUGCACGAGUACUAGACAGCAGUUGACGUGAGUGAGGAUUUCGUUAAUUGGAGUAUACGAGUUAAUAGUUCCUGGUGAGCCCCGCACUUGUUCGCGUGGGCGAAGAGUCUAUUUAUUUGUCAUCGUCUUUGCUUUUGAACUCUUAGAGUCGCUCCAUAGUCAUUUUUAUUAGUGUUAUGGUUAUUCAUUCAUUAUAUUGGAUUAGUUCCUAAUAUUGCAUUUGUUUUCAUAUUUCUGAGAUGGGAUUAGUAUUAUUAUGUUGAUAAGUUUUGUAAUCUUAGUGAAAACUCAUUUUUGGUUAGUUGAUGAGGAUUAUGACUGAUU